UUCGUAGGGGGUUUUCUAAGUUUGAUGUGAAAUCCCGAGGCUUAACCUCGGAACUGCAUUGAAAACUGGAAGACUAGAGCACUGGAGAGGAGAGCGGAAUUCCUGGAGUAGCGGUGGAAUGCGUAGAUAUCAGGAAGAACAUCGAAAGCGAAGGCAGCUCUCUGGACAGUAGCUGACCCUGAGGGACGAAAGCGUGGGUAGCGAACAGGAUUAGAUACCCUGGUAGUCC
rnacentral:rRNA from 1 species